AUUCAUCUCGUUAUCUCGCGGUUACGUCGCCCGUUUUCACCGUGAUGACGAGUUGAUUUGACGACUUCUCGAGGAAGAAGCUGCUGAAGAAAACUCAUUUACAACCUUUAGUGUCCGAAAUAUUCACAUCUGCUAGAAUAACAAAAUCCACAAAUAAAAACAUAAACUAAGGAUGCCAGCCUUUCAAAAUAAAAGCUUUUAAACUGCAGAGGGGGGGAUAAAAUAAAA